rnacentral:rRNA from 1 species
AUGAGCAGGUAUCGACUUACCAUCAAUUCCCCAGCCAAUAUAGAGGGGUGUGACGCCAAUGGCAUCACGUGCAGCAAUGAAGCUGUUGUCGCGUGUAUCGAGCAAGACGAAGGAGAAGACACCAUCCAGCAUGUCGAUGAAGUUCUCCCCAUGCUCCUCGUACUAUACAAUGUGACUGACCAGGUGUGCGAUGACCUCGCAGUCGCUGCCUGUCCUGAACGUGUGGGAGGAGAGCUGCGCCCGGAGCUGUUCAUGGUUGUAGAUCUCUCCAUUCACCUGCAAGGAGUACUUGUUUUAACAGAAAGAACCAAGCUACAAUAG